rnacentral:rRNA from 1 species
GCACUAGACCGACUCUGAAAGGAGUCUUCCCUUCGGGGCUGGUGCACAGGUGCUGCAUGGCUGUCGUCAGCUCGUGUCGUGAGAUGUUGCGUUAAGUCGCGCAACGAGCGCAACCCCUGUCCUUAGUUGCCAUCAGGUAAAGCUGGGCACUCUAGGGAGACAAACCCUCUCUGAGGGUGGGAAGGUGGGGAUGACGUCAAGUCAGGAUGGCCCUUACGGCCUGGGCUGCACACGUGCUACAAUGCCCGAUACAGAGGGACGCAAUACCGUGAGGUGGAGCAAAUCCUAAAAAUCGGGCCCAGUUCAGAUUGCAGUCUGCAACUCGACUGCAUGAAGCCGGAAUCGCUAGUAAUGGCGCAUCAGCUACGGCGCCGUGAAUACGU